AUUGGUAAUCAACUCAGAAACUGCCUCUUCUUUUCCUUUAAGAAUCCACUUGUAACUGCAGCUAAUGGGAGUGUAUACUCAGGGCUUCUUGAUUCUAUGCUCUGGGGUUGCAGUCCUCGAUCUUGGCCCAAGUAAACGCUCUACUUAGAUUAAUUCUUUUUAGAUUGACAUGAGCAAAUGUUUCCUGAGUGUCUGCUUUGCUGCAGGUGCUGAGCUGUGGAUGGGGUAUGACUGUGAAGCCGGGCCCGGUGCCUGGCCUCAUGAAGAUUAUAUUUUGGUGAAGGACACAAGACAUAAAGCCAAAUGAUCAGAAGAAUAAGGAAGAUGGCUGUAUACAUGGUCCAUGUUAUACAUGAGAUAAGUAGGACAUGUACUAAUGAAUACAGGACAUGGGGCUGGGUUGAUUUACAUGAAGCUUUGAGGGGAAUUUUCCUAGAAGAGAUUAUACAUAAGCGGAUAAGAUAGAAAAUACAUACUACAUGAUAAGAUAGAAAGAUUUCCAGGAAGAGGAAACUGAGUGCAAAGGCCCUAGAGAGAUGGGGGUUGAACCUGGCGUAGCCUCAGAAGGUGUGGCGCCCUGGUCUGUAAUGAAGAGUGAGAGGAGGGGAGUUUGAUAUGCAGAAGUCAAAUCAUAAAGGUAUUUAGAUUUAGGAGGUUGGUUUUACUUUCAGAGCAACGGAAAGCCAUUGGAGGGUUGAAGAAGGGCAAUAAUGGCAUCAGCUUUGCAUUUUAAGGUGAUCGGGCUGGCUGCUCUGUGGAGAAUGGAUUGGUAUGGGCACCAGGAGAAGCAGGGAGUGGAUUUGUCCCAGGAGGACGGCUCUCAUACAGAGCAUUCUUUAAGUGGCUUUCAGGAUGUGCGCCUGCAGGGAGUACACAGUGUAACUGGAGAAGCGCCGGCUGGGUUCCACUACCAGUGAGCGGCAAGAACUUUGGCAUGUCUUCUAAGGUUCCUGGUUCUCAAGCCUCACCUGGAUGAAAUAAUCACAGCUCCCUUAUAGGAUAGCUGUGAUGAUUUAAUCAGAUGAUGUGUGUGACUUGUCCAGCACAUAGUGAUCACUCAUUGUGUUAGAGGUUAGCUCUCUUUAACUGUUAUGAUGUCUCUGGGGCAUCUGUGAGAAGGGAGCUCCUGGGAGGGUGAGGACAAGGUGAUUUAUAGGAAGGAGCAACUUCGAGUCAUGUUCUCCCAUUAAUCUCAUCAACUGGUAGCUCCAAAACAUAGCUGUCAACAGGCAUCAAUUAUACCCCAUGUAAUUGCACACAUGAUUGUAUUUAAUUCUCACAAUAGUCUUGCAAUGCAGACAUUACUGUAUUAUAUAAUUAUCCCCUUUUUUGAUAUCAGAAAAUUGUAGUCCACAGAGGUUAGGUAAUUUGCUCAAGGUCACCCAGUUAGUGGCAGAGCCAAAAUUCAGUCCAGAUCUGUUGGAAUCCAAACCCCAUGCUCUCUCCACCAUAACGGCUCAUCCAACAGUUCGACAGCUGCUUUCCAAACACAUCUCGGGUUCUUGGGAUUCUACAACACCUGUGUCUCUCAACACAGGGUAUCCUGUCUAUGGAAGUCCCCAGGUGACAUGAGGAAGAAGGAAAUCUGCCCUCUCCAAGCCUGAUAAAAAAGGACAAAAGAGACCGGUUCCAUCUGGUGUUCUAUAAAGCACAGCUUUGCCAGGUUCCAGAACACCAGGCAAUCAUAUCCUCUGUGGUAUUGGUUUUGCAGCCCCAGAAAUACUUCUCUUGGAACGAUGAACACGGAAUUAAUUUCUCAUUCCCUGAAAGCCUGAAGCAGUUCUUUAGAGGUCUUAUAAAUAUGCCUGUGAACAGUACCAGAGUAUGGAGAGCACAGUAAGAUGUGUGACUCCAAUCCUGCCUAUGCACAGGGGUGUGCAGCUGUCAACCUUCUCAUAAUGGCAGCAUGUUCUAAGUGGAAUCAUAAAGGUGUGAAGGUUUUCAAAGAAUUUAAUCCAAAUAAUAUCCAUAGAAGUGUAUGCUUUAUUUUCUUUGGAUGACUCUAGACCAAACUUCUCAAAGAUGAAAUGGAGUUAUUGAGGGUGGUUCCUUCUCUUAGUAAAAAUGGGUGACCCACUCAUGUUCAAAGAGUCACGGCUUCUUUGAUGAAUCAUCUAGGCCGGUACAGGCUUUAAGAAAAUAUGCAGACGGCUGGACACGGUGGGUCAUGCCUGUAAUCCUCGCAAUUUGGGAGGCCGAGGCAGGUGGAUUACUUGAGGUCAGGAGUUUGAGACCAGCCUGGCCAACAUGGUGAAACCCCUUCUCUACUAAAAAUACAAAAGUGAGCUGGGACGGUGGUGUGUGCCUGUAAUCCCAGCUACUCGGGAGGCAGAGACAGGAGAAUCAUUUGAACCUGGGAGGCUGAGGUUGCAGUGAGCCAAGAUUGCACCACUGCACUCUAACCUGGGCAACACAGUGAAAGUUUGUCUCAAAAGAAAGAAAAGAAAGAAAGAAAGAAAAAAAGGAAGGAAGGAAGGAAAGAAAGAAGAAAGAAAGAAAGAGAGAAAAGAAAAUAGGCAGAAAACUAUGACUUUGAAUCCUGCUUUUAUAUGUAUACCUUGGGAAUAGCAUCCUGUUAAGAAAAAAACAAACAUAAUAAUAAUAACCAUCUGAGGAUUUAACUUCAACUCACAUCAGUGUCUCCAGUGGACGAUGUCAGGGCUUGAUACUUUCCACUUCCCCUGAGCUAAUGGAAACCUCUGUUUACUCAGCCCCGUCUCACCUGGCAUUGAAUAUGGACCUAACACGCCUGGAAAUGGGUUCUAGAAGGGCAGGAAGAGAAUCAGUGCCCAAAUCUUCUUUCACUCAUGUUUGCCUAGACUGUGCAGCUACAUAUCAGUCCUAUUUAGGGUGACAGGUUAAAACCCCUUGGGAAAACGGUGUGACCUGGUAUAUCGUUGAAGAGCUAGACAGUUGGAGUCCAUGCAUGACUCCAGUAGAAGGAAUUUGGUAAGAGAAUUGGUUACAAAGCCUCCAGAGAAGUGAAAGAGAUGAUGAGACUACACAGAGAUUAGCAAUGACAGGACAUCUCCAUCAGGCCUAAGACUGAAGAACCAAAGAAAGAAGUGAUCUUUCUGGUGGCAAGAGCUGCAGCUACCUGGAAGGAGCUGGAGUCACUGCACUGGGCCUAUUGGGUGGAAACUGGAAUCACAAAGGAGAUGUAGCUGUUUCGGAGAUGACGCCCCUUUCCUUGAAGGAGAUAAUGUAUGGAAUUAGGAGCAGCAUCCCAAAGACAGGCUGCCCCUGCUGAAGGCAUGGGAUGUGGCUCAGGGCUCUGAGGUGGCAUUUGAGGCCCUUGCUCUAAGCCACAUCAUCAGCCAAGUUUUUAUGAAUCAUAAAAUUGCUGGAUCCCGUUUCUAAACAUAGUCCCUGAUUCUGCUUCACUGAUCUUCCUCGGAGGUCAACUGCAUAGCAGACAAAGAAGCGUUUCCUUUUAAUAGCUGGGAAUUUACUGGCCAUAAAUUUCACCCAGUACCCUAGGACUAUGUGUUAUGGUCAGGUAAAGUAAAUCAGAUGACUAGCCCGUUUUCUCUCUUCAUCUUGAACAUAAUUUCCUCUUUUUCCUGAGAUGAGAUAAUCCCUGAUUAUAGCAAUUUUUUGUGUGUGAGACAGAGGUCUUGCUCUGUCACCACCCAAGUUGGAGUGCAGUGCUGUGAUCACAGCUCACCACCGCCUGGAUCUCCAGGACUCAAGCCAACCUCCCACCUCAGCCUCCCCAGUAGCUGGGACCACAAGUGCAUACCACCAGACUCAGCUAAUUUUUUUUUUUUUUUGAGAUGGAGUCUCACUCUGUUGCCCAGGCUGGAGUGCAGUGGCGUGAUCUCGGCUCACUGCAACCUCCGUCUCCAGAGUUCAAGCAAUUGACCUGCCUCAGCCUCCCAGACAAGGUCUUUCUAUGUUGCCCAGGCUGGUCUUGAACUCCCGGGCUCAAGUGGUCCUCUUGCCUUGGCCUCCCAAAAUGCUGGAAUUACAGGUGUGUCACCACGCCCCGCCUGCAAUUCUUUAACAAGAGGAGAUCCCUUCCAAUUUGUCUGGAGUACCUCCACCGCUAUUCUUCCUCACUUCUGUGCCUCCUUUCUUUUCCUUAAGAAGCAUUAGCAGACAGUAAAAAUGACAUGACUUCCCCCUUCCUACCACCACUGACAUAACACCUGCCCUUCACUAACACCAAUGAGAGUGUGGGGUAUUGAUGGUGAUAGCUCAGAUGCAACCCAGGAGCCCUUUCAGAAUUAGAGCCAAUGCUGGCAAGGAGCUUCUCUUGUCUCCUGUCCAGGCCUCACAAUUUUAAAUUGUUUCCAGAAGUUAGGACAGUGAUAUCUCCUGGCCAAUGCAGAGAAGCAGUGGGAAAGGAGACAGACAGUCCUCCUGAUUCAAGGAAGCUAAUGCUUCUAUUGCCUCUCCUCGAAUAAAAUUUUGAGUUAGAGGUUAUUAUGCUUACUUUGCAGACAUGUUAAGCAAUUUGGCCAAAGCUUCAGAAUGAAUUAGGAGACAAAGUUGGAGUUAGAAUCAAGGUCUGAUUUACUCUAAAAUCCACAUUACUUUCACUAUAGAGUGUUGCUCCCUAUUUUCUAUGUGAAUAGCUUUAUAAAAUGCAAAACAUGUUCAAAAGAAAAUCCUUCCA
rnacentral:lncRNA from 1 species